GUGCUCACUUCGGUAGCACAUAUUCUAAAAUUGGGAUGAUACCCAGAAAAUUAGUGUGGCCCCUGCACAAGGAUGAUGUGAAAAUUUGUGAACUGUCCCAUAUUUUU